UAUCCAUGAUGUGGGCAGUAUCUCAGUAUUCCCUUAAAUCUAUCCGAAGCUUCGUAGAGAAAUUCAAAGUCUGUUUGCUUGAAGCUUGCAAUAAGGUUACGGAGGUG